UUCCCUCCUGCCCUUGCUGCAGUUGAGCAGCAGGUCUUUUCCUGCAAAGAUCUGCUGACAUUUUGCUCAAGUCAGAUGUUCGUGGUCAUUCCUCAGCCUGUGCUACAGCCUUGGCUCAGCCUUUCCCUGAGUUUCGAUAAAAUCUCCAACUUCUUCCAUCUCAUAUGAGCAUCAGUCAGUAUGCUCUUGUUAAGUCCCUAUUUUAGAAAACAUGUGAGAAGCUUUGUGCUGUGAGGGCUGAGAGCAGCUGCUAGCCCAGGGAAAGCAGGCUCCCUGCCGGCCAGCACGGGCCGAUCUUGGAGUAUCUCCGGCUCCACGCGCGUCUGGGCGCUCUGGAGCGGACGUCGCCAGGCCUGAGCUGGGACAGGCGGCGAGAAGGGAAGGAGCCGCCUGCCGAGCGAGGCCCAGGGGAUCCCGUUCCUGGGAAGGGAGCAGCAGCGCGAAACAGAACCGGGCCGCGACUCUGUGGAUCAAAUCUGUCCGUAGGGGGAGAGACCGGGGACCAAAAACAUAUGACAUGAGCAACUAAGCACACAGAAGUAUCUACGUUAGACACCAAUAAAAAGAAGAAAAAAGGAAGGCGAAGAAUAAAGACAACUUGGUUUUAAUAAUUAUCUUUCUUCUUCUGUGAGCCCAACAGAGACUGUAGAAGCUGUUAAAAUGAAGGAUAAAGGAGAUACUGAGGAAAAUCACAAGGAGCAUGAAAAAUAGCGUUGACCAAGAGAAGGAUGUGAACUGCUAGAAGCGUAUCCUGGAUUCCAGACUGGGACCAGACACUUUUAAUGACUGUUCUUAUAAAAAAGAAGACAAAGCCAGGAAAAUAUCAAGAGUUGUCCCAUGGAAUAUAGAGUGUAUAUAAGUGGCUAAACUACAAUGAAGUAAAAUUAAUUCCUUACAUGUUUUUUAUCCAUUUUGGUUAUUUUCUCCAGUGUUCCAACUGUCCUAAUUUCUGCUUGAAUUUUAUUUCUGCAGUAGUGCAUUAUUAGAGGUUCAUUCGUCCUUCCUCCCCCCAGCCCCAGGAGCUGCAGGAACACUGGAAAUGCUGUGCUGGAAAUGAGGUGAGGGCUCCGUCAGAACAGGCUCUUGGAGAAUUUGCAAAAGGCCGAUGCUUGGUGCAGCCUCAGAUGUGUGCAGGCUUCAAUCUAUACCUGCACAGCAACAGGAACAGAGUGCAUAAAUGCAGGUGUCAUGGAAAUGAUGGGUGCAUUUCAAUUAUCCAAAAUGAAAGAAGGCACUGUAGUUGCUUUUUAGUGGGCCUUUUUAUAAAUCCGUAGCACUUGCUUGUCUCUGGAGUCCUCUGUAGCACUUUGGCAAAGUACCUCUAUAUAGGCUCAAAAAUUCUCUGCCGAAUGGGGCAAAAAUACCUUGUAUUUUGGCUUCAUAUUCUGCAUAUUUGAACAGACUGAAUACGCAGAAAAAAAGAUUGAAGUUGCAGCUAAUUGAGGUUGUUCAACAAAACAUAAUUCCAAAAAAUAUUUCAGGGUGGGGGGAAAAAAACAAGCCGUAAAUUUAUUUACAUAUUUAUACCUAUACCUAUUUGUUAAAAGUUUAACCCACAGGAUUUUAGUCUAGAGUUUGAAGCAUUUGAAACUCUGGGUAAAACACAUGUACAAUUCCAGAUGCACUUACAAAAUUGCACAUCAGAGUUUGAAUAUUAGGAGCGCGCGUGUGCUUUUAUGCUUCGGUUUGCAGAUACAGAGUUUAGGAGCUAAUAGCAGUGACCGCAUGUGAGCUUUCCAAAGAGCACCGAGAGACAUCCUGUGCCUGAAGCUUAACAAAUAAGCUGGAAAUGCAGCUC